GAUGAACGCUAGCUACAGGCUUAACACAUGCAAGUCGAGCGACCGGCGCACGGGUGAGUAACACGUAUCCAACCUGCCCUUUACUCGGGGAUAGACUUUCGAAAGAAAGAUUAAUACCCGAUAUAAAGGAUGGGUUUGCGUUCCACUAGGUUGUUGGUGAGGUAACGGCGCACCAACCCUUCGAUGGAUAGGGGUUCUGAGAGGAAGGUCCCCCACAUUGGAACUGAGACGCGAUCCAAACUCCUACUGGAGGCAGCAGUGAGGAAUAUUGGUCAAUGGGCGCUAGCCUGCACCAGCCAAGUAGCGUGAAGGAUGAAGGCUUAUGGGUCGUAAACUUCUUUUAUAUAAAAAUAUGUAUUAUAUGAAUAAGGAUCGGCUAACUCCGUGCCAGCAGACGCGGGAAUGC
rnacentral:rRNA from 1 species